rnacentral:lncRNA from 1 species
UCAAUUUUUUGUAUAGAUAGAUACUUAUGUUGAUUAUUACAAUUUUAAUGAAUUCACUUCAAAAACUACAGAACACAAGAAAGGGACAGAUACCGUAGUUGAAUCAUUACAAGUGUCUAUCCUUUGGGAGUGUCUGCAAUUAAAAAAUCUAAUUUAUCAACAUUGUAGUACAAUGAACGGCACAUAUUUGUUCUAAAUGAAAGUCAGUUCUUCUUGGCUUCUGUUUUCUCUCUUCUGGUUACUGCUUGGAAGUCAUUCAUGCGCAAAAUUUGACAACCACUUGACAAAGGCACAACAUAUUUACAUGGGAUUGUAUUAACUUUCAGGGUUUUGAUGAUAUGGGUGGUACUUUAACUUACAGUACAAUAUUAUGAGACAUGGAACGGAAGUUUUGAGAAAGCUGUGAAGCAAAGGUUGACGUGAUACUUACAAGUCAUGGCAUUCUGAAGUGACAUGGAUCAACUAUGUACACAAUAUACAUAUACAUAUAUACAUAUACAUAUAUACAUAUACACAUAUGUAUAGAUAGUUAUAUACGGUGGUCAAAGUUAGGUACCAAGAGAUAAAGUGGUGUGAAGUGCCAUUAGUGCCAAGUGCCAACAUCAUGCUUUUACGGCGUUGGUUGGAAUCUCGCAGCAACCCCAAAGGUCUUCUCCUCAACCCCAACUAGACCCAAGCUGCAUCACGCAAUUGCAUUAUUGUCAGAGCAGAGUAACCUACACAGAAACUAAAGAGUGUCUUCAUUCCUUUUUCUUCAAUCAAUGUAAGUUGAACACAACGGAUGAUUGCGUUUUGCGAAUCGUCUGUAUGUGUGGAGUAGAAUACUCUGGAGAUUAGGAAUGCAUGGGACACAGUUGCAUGCUCUUCUGCCAGGGAUGAUCUCUGGAGUCUGAAACUGAG